CAUUAGAUGGCCGAAAGUAGGCAAUGGAAUUUUAAAUCAUUAAAUAAUAUAGUCACGUAUAUUUCUGAUGA
rnacentral:tRNA from 1 species